rnacentral:rRNA from 1 species
UACAGAGGUCCCAAGCGUUGUCCGGAUUUAUUGGGCGUAAAGAGCGUGUAGGCGGCCUGACAGGUCUGCUGUGAAAACUCGAGGCUCAACCUCGAGACGUCGGUGGAAACCGUUUGGCUAGAGUCCGGAAGAGGAGAGUGGAAUUCCACGUGUAGCAGUGAAAUGCGUAGAGAUGUGGAGGAACACCGAUGGCGAAGGCAAUCCCUGGACCUGUACUGACGCUCAUGCACGAAAGCGUGGGGAGCAAACAGG